UGAAAGAAGCAAAACCUUGCAGUGUGAGGGGAUAAGAUUAAGCCAAACCAGUGAAUUUUCCUCUCUGACUUGUGAGUGCUUUCAGUUGAUAUAAAAAUUCACCACUAUAAGACACUGGUACAGAUUUCCCAGAGAAGAUGAGAAUUCCCCAUCUCAGGAAGUGCCCAAGACCAGGCUGGAUGGGGCUUGGAGCAACCUGGGAUUGUGGAAGGUGUCCCUGCCCAUGGCAGGGGGUGGAACAUGAUGAACUUUAAGAUUCCUU